GAGUUUGAUUAUGGCUCAGGAUGAACGCUAGCGGCAGGUCUAACACAUGCAAGUCGAGGGGUAGGGUGCUUCGGCACUUGAGACCGGCGCACGGGUGCGUAACACGUGUACAAUCUACCUUUUGCUAAGGGAUAGCCCGAAGAAAUUUGGAUUAAUACCUUAUAGUAUUGUUUGGUGGCAUCACUAAAUAAUUAAAGCUCUGGUGGCAAAAGAUGAGUACGCGUUCCAUUAGCUAGUUGGUGUGGUAACGGCAUACCAAGGCUACGAUGGGUAGGGGUCCUGAGAGGGAGGUCCCCCACACUGGUACUGAGACACGGACCAGACUCCUACGGGAGGCAGCAGUGAGGAAUAUUGGACAAUGGUCGGAAGACUGAUCCAGCCAUGCCGCGUGCAGGAUGACGGCCUUAUGGGUUGUAAACUGCUUUUAUACAGGAAGAAUAAGGUCUACGUGUAGAUUGAUGACGGUACUGUAUGAAUAAGCAUCGCA
rnacentral:rRNA from 1 species